GUAGGUCCCGAGCGUUGUCCGGAUUUAUUGGGUGUAAAGGGCGCGUAGGCGGACUGUCAAGUCAGUCGUGAAAUACCGGGGCUUAACCCCGGGGCUGCGAUUGAAACUGACAGCCUUGAGUAUCGGAGAGGAAAGCGGAAUUCCUAGUGUAGCGGUGAAAUGCGUAGAUAUUAGGAGGAACACCAGUGGCGAAGGCGGCUUUCUGGACGACAACUGACGCUGAGGCGCGAAAGUGUGGGGAGCAAACAGGAUUAGAUACCCUGGUAGUCCACACCGUAAACGAUGGAUACUAGGUGUAGGAGGUAUCGACCCCUUCUGUGCCGCAGUUAACACAAUAAGUAUCCCACCUGGGGAGU
rnacentral:rRNA from 1 species